GUGGUUGUAGCUCAGUUGGUUAGAGCGCUGGUUUGUGGUGCCGGAAGUCGCGGGUUCGAGUCCCGUCUUCCACCCGA
rnacentral:tRNA from 2 species